rnacentral:rRNA from 1 species
UACGUAGGGUGCAAGCGUUGCUCGGAAUCACUGGGCGUAAAGGGUGCGUAGGCGGGUCUUUAAGUCAGGGGUGAAAUCCUGGAGCUCAACUCCAGAACUGCCUUUGAUACUGAGGAUCUUGAGUUCGGGAGAGGUGAGUGGAACUGCGAGUGUAGAGGUGAAAUUCGUAGAUAUUCGCAAGAACACCAGUGGCGAAGGCGGCUCACUGGCCCGAUACUGACGCUGAGGCACAAAAGCGUGGGGAGCAAACAGG